UGAAGAAGUCAACAAACAGCUAGAACAAAUUGAGAACCGUGGCAUUCUUUUGUGGUUUUAGAGCUGAGCCACGAGCAGGUAUUGCAGUCACUACAAAAGAGUCUGUUGCAUUUCGCAUUGCACUAGGCAAUGAUGCAGCUGGUAAAAUUGCUGAUUGCAUAUGUGUGCACGCAUGCGAACAGGCUUAUGGGUGGGAUGACUCUCAGCCUAGAUAUAGUACCAAGGUCGAUUAUUGAUUUUCAAAUGCAAUUGUAAAAAGGUGAAUUGUCAUAAAAUAUGUACUUCAUUAGCUAUAGCCUUGGAAGUGUGAUCAGGGAUAGUCAUAACUAUGUUUUUGUUAUGUUUAACAUCCUGCAAUGUAGAACUUCUUAUUUAAUUUUGCCCUAUGGUCAGCUCUUGGUUUUCAGAUGAUACUGUGAAUUAGAAUUUUCUCCAUGAGGUGAUUAUACAAUGUGGAAUCAUAACUCUAUCAUUUGGCUAUAUAAUUAAUUUGCAGGGGUUAUAAUAUAGGAAUUCGACUGAUUGAUGAGUUUUUAGCAAAAUGUAAUGUCUCGAGAUAUGUGGACUUCAGGGAUACAGCUGAAGUAAUUGCAAAGGGUGUACAACUUGAUCAUGUAAAAAGAUGGGACAAGCUUGAGUUGGUAGAUGAAGAACUUAGUUUGUAGCAUAACGGAACUGCUGACUCGCCAUCCGAAACUUUUUUCAUCAUAUACAAAAGUAUGCCUUGUAGAUUUACUGGGUUUUUUGUUUCUUCAUUGAAAAUCAUAUGAUUGUACCAUUGAUCCAGUUUGGACUUAACUAUCUGUAAUUAUGCAUGAUGGUAUUUAACUUGCUAACUGUAUAAAAAAAUAGAUGUGGAAGGGAACUAUUUUGUUAUCAAAUCAAGGGGGAGAAGAUAUUCAGUUGAUAAGAUGAAAUGAAAUGUGAGGGAGCAAAAAGAGGUUCUUAUUCAUUAUCUUAUUGGAUGUGUAAUUUUCCAGCCUGAUCUGAGAGAUGCCUUUAUCUAAGAAGUAAAAGCAGGGUGAGAAUGCAUUUUUGUGGGCACAGGCAACAAAACAACACAAUAUUAACCUUUUUCUGUUUCCUCUCAAUUUGCUCCCUUGUAGCUCUUUUCUAUCAUAGUACUUUUGUUCAUCUUUCCACUUUGGGUAUCAAAAUAUUUUAUCCAAUUCCACUUUUCGAGUUAUGGUGGUUCUGUAAUUUGACAGAAUUUUCCUUAAAACUAAACCAAUCAGCCAGGUGGCAGCUUCAGACAUAUUUUCUGAUAUUCAGUGAAGGGAUUACUAGUACUAGAAUGGUUGAAUUGUGAUGGAAUGCAUUUAUAUUUUUUUUGUGUAGUCAAAAAUGCAAAAAGCGCUUGCUAAGGCACAAAAGUGCAGCGAUAAAUAGGAAAACGCUUUUACAUAUGCUAAGUGAAGCGUUUAAUGAAGUGAGGGCUUUUUGUGCUUAAAGCACAAAGUGCAAAGUGCCUCAACUUCAAGGCCAACAUUGGAAGAUGUUGAGAAAGGUUUUGAUCAAAAUGGAUCUUAUUUUGGAGAUGAGUAUGAAAGUGUUGAAGACUUUAAUUGAAAAUCUACUGAAGAUCUCCAGGUUAUGACCAUGAAUUGGAAUGUUAAAGACUUUUAGAUGUUUGAUGAUUUCUUAGGGGUUUAAAUUUUAUAUAGAUGAUUGUAUUUACUUUGCACAUUAUAUUAUUAGUUAAUUUUUUUAUAAAAAUUUGCACUUCCUUCAAUGAAGCUAUCACAUUUUUGUGCUUUACGCUUUAAGCGAUGGGGUAAUGCAUCACUUUAAGUGUCUUAUACUUUUAACUAUCUUGGUUCGAUCCUAGUUCAACCACAUUUGAAUCUUAAACUCUUAACCCUUUGCAUUCACCAAUUCUCAAACUAGGCUAGGUUUAAAAACCAUAGUGUCUAGAGAAGGGAUUUUUGAGGAACAUGAACUGUAUAAGGCAAACAAAGAAAGAGGCCCCUUUUAUAUUGGCAACAGCAGUUACAAGCAUUAUGGCAGUGUUAUCAAAAGCGAGGCGAGGCGCCUCUCUGUCGCCUCGACUGGAACGCC
rnacentral:misc_RNA from 1 species